GGGUCGAUGGCGUAGUUGGUUAUCGCAUCUGUCUAACAUAUGAUGUACACAGAAGGUCCUCAGUUCGAACCUGGGUCGACUCA